GUCCUUUGCGCGGCACCUGGCGACAAAAUGGCUGCCCGAGGGAGACGGGCGGAGCCUCAGGGCCGGGAGGCUCCGGGCCCCGCGGGCGGUGGCGGUGGCGGGAGCCGUUGGGCUGAGUCGGGAUCGGGGACGUCGCCCGAGAGCGGGGACGAGGAGGUGUCGGGCGCGGGUUCGAGCCCGGUGUCGGGCGGCGUGAACUUGUUCGCCAACGACGGCAGCUUCCUGGAGCUGUUCAAGCGGAAGAUGGAGGAGGAGCAGCGGCAGCGGCAGGAGGAGCCGCCCCCGGGUCCGCAGCGACCCGACCAGUCGGCCGCCGCCGCUGGCCCCGGGGAUCCGAAGAGGAAGGGCGGUCCGGGCUCCACACUUAGCUUCGUCGGCCGGCUGGCGGAGCUGGGCGCGGCGUCAGGACGGGCCACCAGGCCGGGCUAGGAAGGUGUAGUGGGCCUCAGCGCCGCCAAGGGCGGUCCCGGCUCCUGUAACCGUUGCAGUCUUCUGUCCCUUCACCCAGGUGGGCAAACGCAGAGGCGGGAACAAACUAGCCCUCAAGACGGGAAUAGUAGCCAAGAAGCAGAAGACGGAGGAUGAGGUAUUAACAAGUAAAGGUGACGCGUGGGCCAAGUACAUGGCAGAAGUGAAAAAGUACAAAGCUCACCAGUGCGGUGACGAUGAUAAAACUCGGCCCCUGGUGAAAUGACGCCCCUCCCCCACCUGCCCAUGGCCUGGGACUCUCUGCGAUGUACAUAACUAUUUAAUGCAGCGGCAGCGGCGACAGCCUUCCCUGAGAGGACUUAAAAGCAGAAGGAAACCGAGAUGCUUCCCGCAGCCGUGGACGAUUCUCCAGGACUCUUUUUUUACCUUGAGCACUUGCCUCGUGAGACUUCAUAGAACAGUGGUUUACUGUCCCCCCCUUCUCACCUCCUCAUUCUCUCUGGCUCUUUCUGUCUUCCUCUUCUCACCCUCCUCCCUCCCCUUAGCCAUCACUUCUGGGAAGUAAAGAACUUGACUUAGUGCCGGA